rnacentral:rRNA from 1 species
GACGGAGGGCGCAAGCGUUAUCCGGCAUGAUUGGGCGUAAAGCGUCCGCAGGUGGCAGUUCAAGUCUGCUGUCAAAGACCGGGGCUUAACUUCGGAAAGGCAGUGGAAACUGAACAGCUAGAGUAUGGUAGGGGCAGAGGGAAUUCCUGGUGUAGCGGUGAAAUGCGUAGAUAUCAGGAAGAACAUCGGUGGCGAAGGCGCUCUGCUGGACCAUAACUGACACUCAGGGACGAAAGCUAGGGGAGCGAAUGGG